rnacentral:rRNA from 1 species
GAUGAACGCUGGCGGCGUGCCUAAUACAUGCAAGUCGAGCGAACAGACGAGGAGCUUGCUCCUCUGACGUUAGCGGCGGACGGGUGAGUAACACGUGGAUAACCUACCUAUAAGACUGGGAUAACUUCGGGAAACCGGAGCUAAUACCGGAUAAUAUAUUUAACCGCAUGGUUCAAUAGUGAAAGACGGUUUUGCUGUCACUUAUAGAUGGAUCCGCGCCGCAUUAGCUAGUUGGUAAGGUAACGGCUUACCAAGGCAACGAUGCGUAGCCGACCUGAGAGGGUGAUCGGCCACACUGGAACUGAGACACGGUCCAGACUCCUACGGGAGGCAGCAGUAGGGAAUCUUCCGCAAUGGGCGAAAGCUUGACGGAGCAACGCCGCGUGAGUGAUGAAGGUCUUCGGAUCGUAAAACUCUGUUAUUAGGGAAGAACAAAUGUGUAAGUAACUAUGCACGUCUUGACGGCACCUAAUCAGAAAGCCACGGCUAACUACGUG